UUUUGUGGUGGUGGUUGAUAGGAUCUGUACAAGAUGACACUCAAGUGUAUGCAAGCACUAGUUCGUGUCCAAGCUCGAGUAUGUGACCACUGCAAAAAGCUUUCAAAUGAAGGAAGCUUCGCCUCCAACAUCUUUUGGGGGUCUCAUCUUGCAGAAAUCCAAAUUUGACUUGUAUUACUACCAUCGAAUUUGAAUCUAACAUGCGGAAAUUGUUGGAUUUGACAGGAGAUUUGCUACAGUUUUGGGGUAAUGACAUGUUAUGUUGCAUUUACUUUUGAGAUAAUACUAAUUUGCUAAUCUUUGAUAUAUUUUGUAUGAUAAACUCUACGUAUUUUUCACCAAAUUCCAAUUGUUUCUAUAAGGUUACAAUUUGUUCAGAUGUUUCCACCCGUUGAACUUGAGGAAUCAAUUAAGAAAACUGGUGGAUACCCCGGAAGGUCAGAAAAAGAGCCACCCUCAACACUUAUGUGGACCAUGUUUUAUUUGGCUCAGGUUUGCAGAACCACCGUACCACCGCCAUUCUCUAUACAAAUCUCAGAAACUACAACUAGAUUUCGUUUUGAUCUCUUUAUCUAUUCAAAUCUUCACCUUUGAACCACCUGCCCUGUACCUCCGCCGCCGCCGACCACUCCUACCAUCUGUCAUCGUAGAGCGACCUAAAACGAUGGGUUUUCUUCAUCUUUUAGUAGUGGAGUUUCAAUGUUGUUGAAUAUCCUUGCAGGUAUCUUUCCAUUUUACAUCAAAUAUCAAGAACUUUUAAAUGUCGAUAGUUCAUCAUGUUUUGAAGCUUAGUUUUGAGUUGUGUACUGUUGUAGGAAGGUCCAUCUUCAAGUCGUUAAAAUGUAAUGUUCUUGAUUUUUCUUUCAUUAUUUAUGCUAGAAAUGUCUUGUUUUGCGUAUACAUUAUCAUUGGGUUUCUUUCAUUAUUUUUGUUUUUGUUGACAAUUUUUUUUUUUGCAGAUCCAACCAUAAGUGAGUGAUCUAUCUAGGUUUUCCUUUUGACGAGUUUCAUUUUUGGUUAUAUUGAUGAUUUUUUUUUCCAGAUCAGACCUACACCAACUAUCCAAUAAUGAACCUUAAACAGCAGGGGGAAUAUAGGAAUCAUUCCUGGACAUCUUGUUGGAAUCAACCCUAACAGCCUGGUGCAAGACAGAAAACAGAGCACAAAGAGGAAAGAACAGGGGAAGCUUUUUUGGGGCCAAAUUUUCUGAUUUUAUUCCAGUGCAUACAUCAACGAAAGAAGAAAACAUCCUACUUAACAAAGUAAAUCCUUAGAAACUAGCAACUGAACUACCCAUUAGCUACAUCUACUAAAUAAAAGGACUUUAUGGCCAUGGCCUUUUACUUAUUCAAAUUAAAGACAAUGGACGAAAAUACCCCUGCAGUGAGUUUCUUUUUGGCGAGCGGUGCAUGUUGAUGUGAUUUUUGAAAUAGUUUCAAAUGAUCAAUGGAUGUUCUUGGCUCUUAAAAAGCAUCGUAUGAAAGGUUUUUGUGCCUUUUUUUAUGUUUUCCAAACCAUUAUUGUAUCUCAAGAUGAUAUAUUUCUGUUUGAUGCUUUAAUGAAACACGUCUUGAUCAAAUAACAGCCUUGAUUUGUUAACAAUAGGUGGAAACAUGUCUGUUUUCAACCCUAAAUGAGAUGAUGAUGAGGAUUUGGGACGAAGUGUAUGUCUUAUAAAAAGGAAUAGGAUUAUUAUUUAAUUUGAGCUAAA